ensembl:lncRNA
UAUGAUAGUCAGGAGGAGGAGAUGGUGGUAAUGGUUUCAGCACUGGGGUGUGUUCUCUAUCAGACAGUCAGCAGGUGGUGCAUAGAAGUGAAAUCAUAGAGCUGGUUUGUAUGCGUCAUUGCUUGGAGAAUCCGCAGAAUUUGGAAAGAAUAAGUCAUUUUUACAUGGGGGGUGGGGGACUAGCAUGUCUAAAUCUAAGGCAUGUGAUUAUACUGAAAUACAACUAUUGUAAAACAAGGAGUUUCCAAGGUAUAGUCAAAAGAUUGCAGAGUGAAGUUGUAUAUAUUUAAAAUGUGCAUAAGGACUGUGGGAGAUUUUGUCUUUUUUUUUUUUUUUUUUUAAAAAGCAACUCCACCCAAAUUAUUUAUUCGCAACCCCCUCCUCCAGUCCACGCCCUCUAGCCACGACUUAGUUCAUCCUUGCCCUGAGUAGAGUGUUAGUGCUGCCCACAUAUUGCCAGGCAUCCCUGGAAGAGGAGGUGUAUUAAACUUAGAGAAGCAAGCAAGGAGAGAGAGAAAAAAAAAAUCCUCGGUGUGGUGCGCCUGUGUGUCUGAGUGUUUGCCUUGGGAGAUUGGGAACCCUUUCCAGAUGAUCUGAAGCUCAUCUGAAAUACAUUAAACCCAGGAGAAGAACGAUCCUCUAAUUCAGCUGCGUUGACGCUCCACUGAGGGUUCCUAUUUGCUGUUAGAGGCUCCAGAGGGCAAGAUUGGAGAGCUGGAGGGAACUCCCUGAAGAAGCCUGCAUAAUAACUUGGUAAAUACUCCUUUUAAACUUUAAAUGUGGCAGUAAUGAUUGGCUUGCAUUUUAACUGAAAAUAUGUAGCUGUAAUUGUAAAGUAGAGGGAAAACUAAGCUUUGAUUUGGUAUAUAAUGAGUGCAACAAUUUAUAAAGUAGCUAAAUAACUUUCUGUAUAGGCUUCUGAUAUUUUUCACUCCCCUGAUACUUGCUGCUCUUGCACAUUUCAAUGUUACUUUCCAUGUUCCAGGUCCAAAAUUUUGUUGCAAUUCCGGUGUGCAAACCA